rnacentral:sRNA from 1 species
GCAGGGCAUGGUGGCACACGCCUGUAAUCCUAGCAGCUCAGGAGGCUGAGACAGGAGGAUCCUGAGUUCAAAGUCAGCCUCAGCAAAAGCGAGGUGUUAAGCAAUUCAGUGAGACCCUGUCUCUA